GAUGUACUCCCUCCGUUCCUAAAUAUAAGACCUUGUAGAGAUUGCACUAUGGACUACAUACGGAUGUAUAUAGACAUAUUUUAAAGUGUAGAUUCGCUCAUUUUGCUCCGUAUGUAGUCCAUAGUAAAAUCUCUAUAAGGUCUUAUAUUUAGGAACGGAGGGAGUAUUUG
rnacentral:pre_miRNA from 1 species